AUUUGCUCUUGCAUAUUGUAGGUGCUCCCUAGAUGGGUUGUCUACCAUGAGCUGGUCCUGACAACUAAGGAGUACAUGCGGCAGGCAACUGAACUGAAACCCGAAUGGCUUGUAGAAAUAGCUCCUCACUACUAUCAGUUGAAAGAUGUUGAAGACGCUAGCUCAAAGAAAAUGCCUCGCGGAAGUGGCCUUGCAUCUUAGGAUCAACUCCUAUUUUUGCAAAAGAAAAGAGCAUUGACAAGAGAGUGGUUUAUGCUAUGAAAAUCUGCUCAUUAUACUGCUAGGCAGGACUCUGCUAACUGAAGAGGUCCAUGGACAUUAACUGAGAUGAUUAGAUAACUGUAUAUAUGAUUUUGUAGAUUGAUUUUUGUAAAUUUACGGCUGUAAUUUUCUGUGCGUGCGUCUUUUUGAUGUAUUUGUUGUAUUAGGGAGCUCAACUGUCUGAUUAAUGAAUUGUGGCAUUAGUACUGUGUAUUGGUUAUGUAAUAUAUAAAUUGUGGUUAAUCCAUUUGUUUUAUACGA